rnacentral:rRNA from 1 species
GACGAACGCUGGCGGCGUGCUUAACACAUGCCAGUCGAACGGAAAGGCCCCUUUGGGGGUACUCGAGUGGCGAACGGGUGAGUAACACGUGAGUAACCUGCCCUUGACUUCGGGAUAACUUCAGGAAACUGGGGCUAAUACCGGAUAGGAAUCCUUGCUGCAUGGUGGGGGUUGGAAAGCUUCGGCGGUUUUGGAUGGACUCGCGGCUUAUCAGCUUGUUGGUGGGGUAGUGGCUUACCAAGGCUUUGACGGGUAGCCGGCCUGAGAGGGCGACCGGCCACAUUGGGACUGAGAUACGGCCCAGACUCCUACGGGAGGCAGCAGUGGGGAAUAUUGCACAAUGGGCGGAAGCCUGAUGCAGCAACGCCGCGUGCGGGAUGACGGCCUUCGGGUUGUAAACCGCUUUCAGCAGGGGCGAAGCUUGUGGUGACGGUACCCGCAGAAGAAGCACCGGCUAACUACGUG